UCUUUUACAGUUCUGCUUAUUCUCAUUCAAGGAGAUUGUGAUCAAACUGCAGGAAGUAAAGAGUGGCCUACUAGAGAUGAGAAAAUAGAAAGGCAUUCCCUGAGAGAAGACUGGUAUCGUGGUUGAAACAUGCUCACAAAAACAUUCUGCAUGACCAGGCAAAGAUGAAGUCAAGAGCAGCAACAAUAAGAAGUGAGGGGACUGACAGAGUUGUGCCUGCCUGGAUUCCUAUGCAGCACAAAACACUUGCCAUAUGUUGCAUCGUCAGAAGAGGAGUCUCAGGGAUUCACACACUUGGACUUUACUGA
rnacentral:lncRNA from 1 species